rnacentral:rRNA from 1 species
GAUGAACGCUGGCGGCGUGCCUAAUACAUGCAAGUCGAGCGAACAGACGAGGAGCUUGCUCCUCUGACGUUAGCGGCGGACGGGUGAGUAACACGUGGAUAACCUACCUAUAAGACUGGGAUAACUUCGGGAAACCGGAGCUAAUACCGGAUAAUAUAUUGAACCGCAUGGUUCAAUAGUGAAAGACGGUUUUGCUGUCACUUAUAGAUGGAUCCGCGCCGCAUUAGCUAGUUGGUAAGGUAACGGCUUACCAAGGCGACGAUGCGUAGCCGACCUGAGAGGGUGAUCGGCCACACUGGAACUGUGACACGGUCCAGACUCCUACGGGAGGCAGCAGUAGGGAAUCUUCCGCAAUGGGCGAAAGCCUGACGGAGCAACGCCGCGUGAGUGAUGAAGGUCUUCGGAUCGUAAAACUCUGUUAUUAGGGAAGAACAAAUGUGUAAGUAACUAUGCACGUCUUGACGGUACCUAAUCAGAAAGCCACGGCUAACUACGUGC